UUGACCUCAGAUCAGGUAGGACUACCCGCUGAACUUA
rnacentral:rRNA from 1 species